rnacentral:rRNA from 1 species
AUGCAGUCGAGCGGACCGACGGGAGCUUGCUCCCUUAGGUCAGCGGCGGACGGGUGAGUAACACGUGGGUAACCUGCCUGUAAGACUGGGAUAACUCCGGGAAACCGGGGCUAAUACCGGAUGCUUGAUUGAACCGCAUGGUUCAAUCAUAAAAGGUGGCUUUUAGCUACCACUUGCAGAUGGACCCGCGGCGCAUUAGCUAGUUGGUGAGGUAACGGCUCACCAAGGCGACGAUGCGUAGCCGACCUGAGAGGGUGAUCGGCCACACUGGGACUGAGACACGGCCCAGACUCCUACGGGAGGCAGCAGUAGGGAAUCUUCCGCAAUGGACGAAAGUCUGACGGAGCAACGCCGCGUGAGUGAUGAAGGUUUUCGGAUCGUAAAACUCUGUUGUUAGGGAAGAACAAGUACCGUUCGAAUAGGGCGGUACCUUGACGGUACCUAACCAGAAAGCCACGGCUAACUACGUGCCAGCAGCCGCGGUAAUACGUAGGUGGCAAGCGUUGUCCGGAAUUAUUGGGCGUAAAGCGCGCGCAGGCGGUUUCUUAAGUCUGAUGUGAAAGCCCCCGGCUCAACCGGGGAGGGUCAUUGGAAACUGGGGAACUUGAGUGCAGAAGAGGAGAGUGGAAUUCCACGUGUAGCGGUGAAAUGCGUAGAGAUGUGGAGGAACACCAGUGGCGAAGGCGACUCUCUGGUCUGUAACUGACGCUGAGGCGCGAAAGCGUGGGGAGCGAACAGGAUUAGAUACCCUGGUAGUCCACGCCGU